rnacentral:rRNA from 1 species
CCCUUAGAUGUCCUGGGCUGCACGCGCGCUACACUGGAAGUUACGGAUUGAGAUACUACCUUGUCCGAAAUGGUCCGGGUAAUCACCUAAAAGCUUGUCAUAAUUGGAAUGGAUUUUUGUAACUAGUAAUCCUGAACGAGGAAUUCCUAGUAAGUCCCAGUCAACAGCUGGUACUGAUUACGUCCCUGCCCUUUGUACACACCGCCCGUCGCUACUACUGAUUGGACGUUUAAGCAAGAUUUUUAAACACUGACAGUGUGUAGUUCACGCUAUACUACAGUGAGAAGAAGAAGAUCGAGCUUACUUGUCUAGAGGAAGUAAAAGUCGUAACA